rnacentral:sRNA from 1 species
GCCGGGCAUAGUGGCUUGUGUCUGUAGUCCCAGCUACUUGGGAGGCUGAGGCAGGAGAAUUGCUUGAAUCCAGGAGGCGGAGGUUGCAGUGAGCUAAGAUGGAGCCACUGCACUCCAGCCUGGGUGACAGAGCAAGACUUUGUCUCAA